rnacentral:rRNA from 1 species
GAUGAACGCUGGCGGCGUGCCUAAUACAUGCAAGUAGAACGCUGAAGGAGGAGCUUGCUCUUCUGGAUGAGUUGCGAACGGGUGAGUAACGCGUAGGUAACCUGCCUGGUAGCGGGGGAUAACUAUUGGAAACGAUAGCUAAUACCGCAUGACAACAGUUAUUGCAUGAUAACUGUUUAAAAGUGGCAACUGCUCCACUACCAGAUGGACCUGCGUUGUAUUAGCUAGUUGGUGAGGUAACGGCUCACCAAGGCGACGAUACAUAGCCGACCUGAGAGGGGGAUCGGCCACACUGGGACGGAGACACGGCCCAGACUCCUAGGGGAGGCAGCAGGAGGGAAUCGGCGGCAAGGGGCGGAAGACUGACCGAGAAGCGCCGAGGGAGUGAAGAAGGUUGUCGGAUCGUAAAGCUCGGUUGUAAGAGAAGAACGAGUGUGAGAGUGGAAAGUUCACACUGUGACGGUAACUGAUCAGAAAGGGACGGCUAACUACGUG